AUUGAACGCUGGCGGCAUGCUUUACACAUGCAAGUCGAACGGUAACAGGCCGCAAGGUGCUGACGAGUGGCGAACGGGUGAGUAAUGCAUCGGAACGUGCCCAGUCGUGGGGGAUAACUACUCGAAAGAGUAGCUAAUACCGCAUACGAUCUAUGGAUGAAAGCGGGGGACCGUAAGGCCUCGCGCGAUUGGAGCGGCCGAUGUCAGAUUAGGUAGUUGGUGGGGUAAAGGCUCACCAAGCCAACGAUCUGUAGCUGGUCUGAGAGGACGACCAGCCACACGGGAAUUGGGACACGGCCCAGACUCCUACGGAAGGCAGCGUUGGGGAAUUUGGGACAAUGGGCGCAAGCCUGUUCCGGCAAUGCCGCGUGAAGCAGGAGGGCCUUCGGGUUGUAAACUGCUUUUGUACGGAACAAAACGGCUCUGUUAAAUACCCGGGCUAAUGACGGUACCGUAAGAAUAAGCACCGGCUAACUACGUG
rnacentral:rRNA from 1 species